CAGUCGAACGCUUCUUUUUCCCCGGAGCAUGCUCCACCGGAAAAAGAAGAGUGGCGAACGGGUGAGUAACACGUGGGUAACCUGCCCAUCAGAAGGGGAUAACACUUGGAAACAGGUGCUAAUACCGUAUAACAAUCAAAACCGCAUGGUUUUGAUUUGAAAGGCGCUUUCGGGUGUCGCUGAUGGAUGGACCCGCGGUGCAUUAGCUAGUUGGUGAGGUAACGGCUCACCAAGGCCACGAUGCAUAGCCGACCUGAGAGGGUGAUCGGCCACAUUGGGACUGAGACACGGCCCAAACUCCUACGGGAGGCAGCAGUAGGGAAUCUUCGGCAAUGGACGAAAGUCUGACCGAGCAACGCCGCGUGAGUGAAGAAGGUUUUCGGAUCGUAAAACUCUGUUGUUAGAGAAGAACAAGGAUGAGAGUAACUGUUCAUCCCUUGACGGUAUCUAACCAGAAAGCCACGGCUAACUACGUGCCAGCAGCCGCGGUAAUACGUAGGUGGCAAGCGUUGUCCGGAUUUAUUGGGCGUAAAGCGAGCGCAGGCGGUUUCUUAAGUCUGAUGUGAAAGCCCCCGGCUCAACCGGGGAGGGUCAUUGGAAACUGGGAGACUUGAGUGCAGAAGAGGAGAGUGGAAUUCCAUGUGUAGCGGUGAAAUGCGUAGAUAUAUGGAGGAACACCAGUGGCGAAGGCGGCUCUCUGGUCUGUAACUGACGCUGAGGCUCGAAAGCGUGGGGAGCAACAGGAUUAGAUACCCUGGUAGUCACGCCGUAACGAUGAGUGCUAGUGUUGGAGGUUCCGCCCUC
rnacentral:rRNA from 1 species